rnacentral:rRNA from 1 species
AGAGUUAAACAGUACGUGAAAUUGUUGAAAGGGAAACGAUUGAAGUCAGUCAUACCAACGGGAAAUCAACCUUUUGAUUUUGAUCUCGUGGGUUUUGAAGAGUUUAAAAACCUUCGGAUUUUCGAGAUUGGGUUCUUCUGGUGUACUUUCUCGUACGGUUAGUCAACAUCGGUUUUGGGUGCCUUAAAAAGACCAAGAGAAGGUAGCUGCUUGCAGUGUUAUAGCUCUGGUUCAUGAGGCGUCCGAGACCGAGGACUGCGGUACAUGCCAUUGGCUGGGUUCCCAGUAGCUGUUUGCUAGCGGAUUUUGGACUGCUUGCAGACCAUUAGCCGUUUUAGUAGGCAACCUAUUGGAAAACCACAAAUGUGCCUAGGAUGUUGACGAAAUGGUUUUAAAUGACC